rnacentral:lncRNA from 1 species
CCUGGGCAUCUCUUGCCUGUGAGAGGUGAGGACCACGGCUCUCCCUUCUCUGAGGAUGCUCACGAUGGUGUUCCACAGCAUGCGUCGUGCCUGAGGAUCCAUUCCGGUGGUGGGCUCAUCCUGUGGGGUGGGAGAGAGAGCGGGGCAUGUGGACUUGGAGUUGGCCUUUUUGGGUCACUGCAGCCUCUGCCAGCUGACUCCCUUUGAGCAGCCUGGCUGAGAAGGAUGAGCUGACAGAUACUUUCUCAGCGGUUUCCCAGCUCAGCAAGAUGGGAGAAGGGCACCUGGGUGCAGCACUUGGAAGGCUGGAGGUGAAUCAGAGUAAAGAAACAUGAUGUACACCUCUAGAUUCCUUCAACCUGAGAGUAGGUUACAGUUGAUAUAGGCAAUGGUAGAAUUAUCUGUUGAGAGCCACAGCCGAGUCAGAAUGACGCCUGGCAUAUUGCCAGAGGGAAUGGUUGAAAGGUGAUGCCAGCGAACCAUUGAGAUGAUGAUUUGAGUUAAGCUGUAUAUAAUUGCUGUGAUGCUGGAUUGAUUGAGUUGUAUAUGGACCCUGCUCCGGGAGUAGGGAGGCUCAGGGAAUCUGCCUUGGAAAUCUGCCCGGUGGAAGGAGUGUGUUCCCGAGUAGUGUGUGUGCAGUGCCGGUGA